rnacentral:rRNA from 1 species
UACGAAGGGGGCUAGCGUUGUUCGGAAUUACUGGGCGUAAAGGGCUCGUAGGUGGCCAACUAAGUCAGACGUGAAAUCCCUCAGCUUAACUGGGGAACUGCGUCUGAUACUGGAUGGCUUGAGUUUGGGAGAGGGAGUGCGGAAUUCCAGGUGUAGCGGUGAAAUGCGUAGAUAUCUGGAGGAACACCGGUGGCGAAGGCGGCA